rnacentral:lncRNA from 1 species
GGCCAACAUUCCACCCACGACAGCACUCACGUACAUAGACUCCUGGAAACAGCCCUAAAUCCUCAGUGUACAUACAGUAAAUUCUGUAUUUGCAUAUCCCGAGCUGUGCUGCUUGCACUCAGUUUUGAAGAGCUGUUUUCCAAAGGAGGUUCCUGGUGAAAUGAUUUUGGUAAUUUGUAUAAGAAAGAUAAGCAGUUAGCAGGUUUUUGUUUGUUUCUUUGUUUGCUUAGGUGCAGGAUUCCUCUGGACCUGUAAGAAGCUGACGGGCAUUGUGGCCACCGUACGAUGGCGUAGGGGACCUGGCAUUUCCCAGAUUUCUUCAGGUAUGCGAUACUUCCUGCUCAUUCAGCCAAUGUGGUAAAUACCAUCUGACCAAUAGCAAAGGGAAAAAGAGUACACAGCAGCUUCUUCUCUAGCUCAUCGGGAGGAAAAGAGCAAAGAGGAAGGAAAAGAAAGAGCAUGGCCUGGUCCAAAUUUUGGGACAGUUACAUUAAACAAAAGGAUCAGAAAAUGGAAAUGUAUUCCUUUGAAAUGACUGUAAUCGGCUGAAUGUUGAGGCUGGGAGCAGAGUAAUGAUGGAGAACAAGGUGGAUGAGAGUGUUAAUUUUCUCUGAUGAUGAAGGGUAUAUGGUCACACUUACAAGAGGAGAUGCAGACAUCACAGAGGAGCUGAUUUUCAAGAGACCCACUCUGCUUGCUGGGGUCCAUUUUCCGGAUGGUUGGUUGGCAUGGAGGAGGCAGGAAUCACAGUGAGCCCACGUCCUCUCCAAGGCAGGCACGCAGGAGACGUGUGAUCCAAGCAAAGCCAGCAAAGUUUGAAGUACGUAAUAAUAAAACUGAAAGUGAUCAAGAGAAUUUGUUGGCUACAGAUAUAUUCUGA